UACGUAGGGGGCUAGCGUUGUCCGGAAUCAUUGGGCGUAAAGCGCGUGUAGGCGGUUCGGUAAGUCCGCUGUGAAAGUCGGGGGCUCAACCCUCGAAAGCCGGUGGAUACUGUCGGGCUAGAGUACGGAAGAGGCGAGUGGAAUUCCUGGUGUAGCGGUGAAAUGCGCAGAUAUCAGGAAGAACACCCGUGGCUAAGGCGGCUCUCUAGUACGGUACUGACGCUGAGACGCGAAAGCGUGGGGAGCAAACAGG
rnacentral:rRNA from 1 species